UACGAAGGGGGCUAGCGUUGUUCGGAAUUACUGGGCGUAAAGGGCGCGUAGGCGGUGCCUCAAGUCAGGCGUGAAAGCCCCGGGCUCAACCUGGGAACCGCGCUUGAGACUGGAGUACUAGAAUUCGGGAGAGGAUGGUGGAAUUCCCAGUGUAGAGGUGAAAUGCGUAGAUAUCUGGAGGAACACCGGUGGCGAAGGCGGCAUCCUGGACCGGUAUUGACGCUGAGGCGCGAAAGCCAGGGGAGCAAACGGG
rnacentral:rRNA from 1 species